rnacentral:lncRNA from 1 species
AUGCCAAUGAUAGAUGAGGAAGCGGUGGCCCACGGUGAUGGCGCUGGCCACUCCGCCUCGUCGUGCCGGUGGCCGAGCUCCUUUCUCGCGCGUGGCUCAAGGAAGCGGGGGUCCGAUUCCUUCCUCGGUGAAGGGUGAGCAGGCGGUGCCGAGGCUCAGUCCAAUCGGUCCGCUCGCAACUGCGGCGGCGGUGGCGCGCUUUCCUCCGCCUUGC